rnacentral:lncRNA from 1 species
GAAAAGGCAUGUGAAGGAAGGCAGCAUAUGAGGAGGGCAGGAUGACAAACGUUUGUGGUCCAGUGUCGGCAUGACCAACGAGAGCUUUGUGGCGAAUGGGCUUUUGAACUUCAUUAACUUCGGGCAAUACCUAGAGGGGCAGGAAUGGCGCGGACAUCCCACUCGGUUUGGGGCAGGACUGCGCAGGCAACAGAAAUCCUAGGCACCCCGUUCACACGCUGGAGGAAGUCGCACGUGCUGUUGGCCGGCUGCCUAACAGUAAGGCGCCAGGCUUGGAAGCAGUACCGUCGGAGUGUUACCGCUGUGCGUGCAUGCCUCGAGAAGAGGAAGGCUCUGCGUCAGGUAGAGGUGGGGGCCGGUGAUGACGGGAAGUAAAUCAGCUUGUUCGGGUGCUGCUCUUGCUUCUGGAACACAUCAUGCUCUCACUUAGGCACCGAGGCCAAGCGGGCUUCAGAAGAGGGUUUGGUACUGCUCAUCAUCCCUUUGUCAAGCAGUACCUUAGUGCUAGGCAUAGCCAACCAUGACAGCGGCCGUUAAUUGUUGUGCAAAUUGACUUUGAGAAGGUGUUUGACAAGGUGCCGGGGGAGGCAGUGUGGCUUCGUUUUGCAGGAGUGAGGGGCUGAAGGGCCCAUGCUGCGGUCGCUGAUGCGGGCGUACGACAAGGUUACAAUGGUCAUCAAGACGAAUGGCAAGACUGGGGGCGAAUCUCAGUCAGAACAGGGUUGUUUGGACUUUUCAUGGAAACUUUUGCGGACGCCAUCGAU